UACGGGGGGGGCAAGCGUUGUUCGGAAUUACUGGGCGUAAAGGGCUCGUAGGUGGCCAACUAAGUCAGACGUGAAAUCCCUCGGCUUAACCGGGGAACUGCGUCUGAUACUGGAUGGCUUGAGUUCGGGAGAGGGAUGCGGAAUUCCAGGUGUAGCGGUGAAAUGCGUAGAUAUCUGGAGGAACACCGGUGGCGAAGGCGGCUUCCUGGACCGAUUACUGACGCUGAGGCGCGAAAGCUAGGGGAGCAAACGGG
rnacentral:rRNA from 1 species